rnacentral:lncRNA from 1 species
UAACAAGCUCCCGUGCUGCUAGAGAAAGUCCUCAGCUAGAAACUGGUGCAAAUUCUGGAGAUGAGACCUUGUAGAGUGUUAAGAAUGGUUUUCUUCCCAGCAGCUACAGGGCAGAGAAGACCCAGAGAAAGCCCAAGUGGCUGCUGGAACACAGUCAGACACCGUGCCACCUGUCCACACUCCUUGGCUCUGCCAUCAUGCUGAAGAUCGCUUUAAAGGACUGGCUUCCCUCCCCCCAAAAUGAAUAGAGCACAGACUGAGAAACUGAAUGUGGGAGACAGCAGUGGAUUAUGCUGUUCUCAGGGGUCACCUCAGGUUUGGAAGCAUUCUUUCAAAUUAACCCAUCUCAGGCCAUCUGCAGAGAAGAAAGGUGGUACCUAACUUUUUUCUUGUCAGCAUUUGGUAGGGGUGUUUUAUUGACCAAAUAUGUUCCCACAACCUAGUUUUUUGUGAGUAACUAAAUAUAGUAGAGUUUUAAAUUUUAUCAUCAAAAUCUAUAGACAAUUUUUGAUGAAAAUAGACUCCAUCUCUAUGUCCUGCUUUUCUUCUUCUUAUUAAUUACAUUGCUGUAUAAAAGAACAAGACUUCAGAAUCAAGAAUAUCUUGUCUCUUGGCAUUGAAUUUAUACAAGGUGCUCUUUCUUUAAUGCUGUCUCAAAGGACAUAUUUUUACUCAUUAAAAAGGAAGAUCGGAAUCUAGUUGUAUGCGCUGCUCCAACAUAUUAAUAAUUAAAAUUAGGAGGUAAAUGUGGUCAAAACUAUAGAAAGACUGAGAUGUCAUUUAUAUUGAUUGCUGUAUAGCAUUCUACAAACAGAAAUUGUUAAAUAAGUUUAUAUAAAUAUUUUGUAGCAUUUCAAAUAUUUGAGUGCUUGACGUUUCUCCUCUUCUAUAGUUCAGAUUAUCAAUUUGAAGACUUACUCCGCUAGUUAAAAUGUUUUUAGUCUCGUUCGAGUAUUAUAUAAAAGCAAUUUUCAGUUAAAUGUGUUCCGCUUACAUACAACAUUACAAAUUAUUGAGGAUUUAAUUACUUAUUCAUGUUCCUGUAAUAUCUUUAGAAGAUUUUCUUAUUAUUACCUAUCAAUAUAUGUAUGCUUUGUCAAAGAAAAAUCAAACAUAUAUAUCAUUGAAAUUGAAACUUUUUAAAAGUACUUAUUAAUUCUAUUGAAAAACCACAUCCAUAGGAACAAUUACAAUAUAAUAUUGUGAACAUGUAAACAUAUACCCUAUGUCUAUUUUAUGUAUAAGCAUGUAUGAUUAAAAAUAUAGUGAAGAAUUUUUAAACCUAGUAUUAUAAAGUAAAAAUUAGUUAACUUCUGAUGAUUAUUUGUUAAUUAAGAUAAAAUUAUUUUGAUUUGGGUGAUUUUAAAUAAAGAAAAAUAUUAAAUUACAUGACAAAAAUUCUUUAUAAAAUGUUUAUGAUUUUUACAUUGGUUUUAUCACUUUUUCCACUAUUUUAUUUUAAGAUGACCUGCCUUGUUUAAAACACUGUAUUCAUCUUAAUUAAAUUAGAUUCCAUUUGUAAAAUAAUUAACAAAUGAUUUGCUCUAUUUUACAGUGCGGUUAUAAACUGAGUCAGUAUCUCAAGAUUUGAUCCCCAUUAUCAUCAUCUGUGGCCCUAUUUGUUUUAUAAAUGUAUUGUCUUUUUCCAUGCCUGUCACAUCUCUAUUGCUUUUUCAUUUUUCUCUUUGUCCCUUAUAGGGAGCAUUGCCUAUCUCUAGAUUAAGCAAAGGUUGCAUCAUAAAAAAGCACAAUAACCUGCUCAAUCUUUCUCACACAGAGAAAUGUUUGUUAAGUAAUUAAAGUGUAGAUGAUGAUACAAAGACCUUGAUUAAAUUAGAUAACAAAGUACCCUUGUGAUUCAGAAUAUGAAUGGUAUUUAAUUUCUUUGAAAUCAUUAAUUGCUGAGUGACAUUAAUUAAUGCCAAUUUUCCAGAAGAUGUUCUAGUUAAUGAAAUGUAUACAACGAAAAGCACAAUAACCUGCUCAAUCUUUCUCACACAGAGAAAUGUUUGUUAAGUAAUUAAACUGUAGAUGAUGAUACAAAGAGCUUGAUUAAAUAAGAUGCCAAAGUACCCUUGUGAUUCAGAAUAUGAAUGGUAUUUAAUUUCUUUGAAAUCAUUAAUUGCUGAGUGACAUUAAUUAAUGCCAAUAUUCCAGAAGAUGUUCUAGUGAGUGAAAUGUAUACAACGUGCAAAAGAUUCAGAACUCUGAAGGGCAACAUUAUUCUAUAAUUAAGAAUUAAGAAUUAAUUCACAUCAGUUAUUGGGGAGAAAUAAUUUUUAAGAAUUAAUGACUGAGAAAAUGUUAUUUUUUACUUAGAAAAUUAUUUUGUGCAUGAGCAUUACCGCAAGUUUUGCAAGAAACAUAAAUUUAAAGAAACAAUUAUGUGCACAAGAUGAAUUUAAUAACAUCUUGAUAUAUUCCAUGAUUGCGGUUUUAUUUGGUAAAUCUUUAAAUGCACACCAUUUAAUGAUAAUAAAUGAAUCUUGGAAAUCUUGUAGGUAAGGGUAAAUAUUAGGAUGCAUCCAGUUACAUUUACACACACAUACAUGCAUACAGACUGAUUCACGUGUGUAUAUAUAUAUAUAUGAAUUUACCAAUUGAUGUUAACUAAUAUUUAUAAGAGCCAGUUGGAUUGAUAUAUAUUGUUGAACCUGAAAAAUAUUUAUUAUAUACAUGUUUAAAAUACACACAGAAAUAAAUAGCAAUUGCACUAGGUAUUUGAAACUGUACUAAAAUAUAAGCUGUGAACAUUUUGUGAUCAUUACAAAUUCUUACACUGAAUAAAUAUGUUUAUUUUUACAAUAUUAAUAUGUUUGAUACCUGUGUACAUUUUUUACAAUGUGUUAUUUUAUUUUUGUCAUAGAGUCAUGUCAUGCAUAAUAACAUUUUAGUCAAAGAUGGAUUACAUAUACAAAAGUGGUCCCAUGAGAUUAUAAUAUAUAUUUUUACAUACUUUUCUACGUUUAAGUAUGUUUAGAUACAUAACCUCUUACCACUGUGCUCUUAUUGCCUGCAGUAUUCAGUAGAGUAAUGUAGUACACAGAUUUGUAGCCUAGGAGAAAGAGGCUAUACCAUAUAACCUAAACGUGGUAGGCUGUACAAUCUAGGUGUUUGUAAUAUUCUCUGUGAUGUUUGCAAAAUGAUGAAAUUGCCUAUGAAUACAUCUGUUAAAACGUAUCCCUAUCAUUCAGUGAUGUGUGACUGUACUAAAAUGCUCAAUGUAAGUUUCAAUGCCCUCCAUAAAAUUGUUGUACUGUGAAAUACAAAUCUCUCACCCAUGGCCUGAAUAUGUUUGCAAACUAAGCAGAUCAUGGGAAGGAGAAUGUGCUGGCAUCGCUGGGAUGAUUUUCUCACACUACAUGAAUAAUAUCUACAGACUUCGUGAAUAUGAGCCACUUGCAUAGAGUUAAAGUAGACGUCUCUUUGCUGGGAAAUUUAUCAAAUGGGAGUAUGAAGUGUUUUUACAAGAUACUUGUUUGUUUGUAGCUGGUAGGCCUACAGUGGCUCAUGGCAAUGGUUGAGGUUGCUAAGAUUUGGUGGAAGAAGGCAAAAUGAGAUGGCCACUUAUAUGGUAUAUGGAUCACUUGUUUCUGUUGAGUUACAAACUCAGCUGGCUAUUUCUCCAAUGUUAGUUAUUUGGAGAAAAAAAAACGUGAUGGUAAUUUUGGGGUAACAAAUACAAUAUUUGAUGAAAGCAAAUUUAUUGAGGGUUAGACAAACUACAAGAUACUUUAGGCUGCAAAGUCAACACGAGACUUCUGGCCCAAAUUGUGAAGAGUUUGCGUCCAGCUGCACAGUUCAAAGGAAGAGGCCAUGUAAGAAGAUUCUCACUUCUGACACCAACUGCCAGUUCAGGGGUUUCCCCUGAACACCCUCAGUUUCAAGAGUUUACUAGAAAGACUCACAGAACUCAUUGAAUGCCACUGUACUCAUGGUUUAUAAUAGAGAAAGGGUAGAAAUUAGGACCAAUAGAAGAGACAUAUCAUAUAAGGUGGAAUCUAGGAGAUUUUGAAUGUUAAGUUUCCAUUGUCUUCAGGACAUAUUACCUGUCACUGUUGUACAGCAACAAACAUGGAGUACUACCAACCUGGGGAGCUCACCUGAUGCUAACAAGACACUAUUUACAAAAUGAAAAGACAAAUGAAAGGAUGAGAUAAGAUGACGUUCCACAUUAAGGCACUGGAACGAUUAGCAAACUAAACCUAAAGCAAGCAGAAGGAAGAAAAUUAAAAUUAGAGAAAUUAAUAAUUUAUAACAAUAAUAUUUGUUAGUGUUGAAUAAUUGAUAUUACUUCUUGACUAGCUUUUUUAAAAAAGAGAAAUAUUCACUUCCCAAUUUAUUCUGUGGGGCCAGUGUUACUUUGAUACAAAAAUUAGUCCAAAUAGCAUAGAAAAAUAAAACUACUAUAAGUAUAAAUGCAAACUUCCUUAAAAAAUACUAACAAAUCAGAUCUAGCAACAUAUAAAAGAAUUAUACACUAUGACAAAGUGAAAUUUAUACAAGUAAUCCCAGGUUGGUUUAACAGCCCAAAAUCCAUUAAGGUAAUACAUCUUAUCCAUAGAAUAAGAAACGAGAAUUGCAUGAUCACGUCGAUAGAUUCGGAAAAGACAUUUAACAGAAUCCAAAUGCUUUAAUGACUAAAAAUAAAAAUAAAAACUCAAUGAACCAGGAAUAGAGAACUUUCUACACCUGAUAUAUGGCACCUGUGAAAAGCCAACAGCAAGCAUGCAACUUAAUGGUAAAGGAUGCUUUCCCGCUAUGGUGAGAGAUAUAUACUUUGAUAGGAUAUAUACUUUGACCUCUUCUAGUCAACACUGUACUAAAGAUUUUAUGCAGGGCAAAUCGGCAACUAAAAAAAUAAGAGUCACCCAUACUGAACAGGAAGAAAUAAAACUUUAUUUGAAAAUAACAUUCUUGUAUAUAGAAAAUUUUAAGGAAUCCACCGAACGAUAGAACUCGUAAAUUAUUUCAGCAAUAUUACAGCAAACAAGGUAAAUGUACAAAAAUCAAUUUCACACAUCUGCAAUGAAAACCCCAAAAUGAAUUUAAGAAAACACUUCAAUUUAAAAUAGCAUCAAAAAAAGAAAUAAUAAUUAAUUUGGAAAAUGUGAUACAAGAUUUUCCUCUGAAAAUUAAAAAUUAUUGUUUAAAGAAUAUUUAAAUAAUUAGCAAACACCUUACACCCAUGAAUUGGACUAUUUAAUAUUGUAGUACUUUACAAUUUGAACUACAGAUUUGAUGAAAUCCCUGCAAGUAUCCCAACAGACUUCUGUCUAGAAACUGACAAGCUGAUUCUAAAAUACACAUGGAAUUGUAAGGGACUCAAAAUAGCCAAAAUAAUCUUAAGAAAAGAAAACAUGUUAGGAUAAUUCACACCCCCAUGCUCCAAACCUUACUGCAAAGUAUCGGUAAUCAAGACAACACAAUACUGAUGAAGGAAAAAUAUAUAGAUUGAUGGAAGAUAAUUGAGAGUCCAUAUAUAAAACUAUGUGUCUACAGUCAAUGGAUUCUUACAGUGGUACCAUGUGCAAUUCAAUGAGGAAGAGACAGUCUUUGAACAAACUGGGUCAACAAAGUACACAUGGAUCACCACUUGCAAAAUAAUAAAUUCGAACCCUUACCCCAAAGCAUACAAAAAUAUUAACUCAAAUGAAUUAAAGACACACAUGCAAGAGGUAGAAUAAAGCAUAUGGGAAAGUCUUCAGGAUUUUGGAUCUAGCAAAGAAAUAGCUGUAACCCCAAAAACAUGAGCAACAAAAUAAAAAUUAGAUAUUUAAAAUUUCUUAAAAAUUAAAGACAUUGGUGUUUCAAAGGACAAACAAGCAAGUCAAAAGGCAGCUCAAAAAUUGUGAGAAGAUAUUUGAAAAACACGUAUCUAUAUGUCUGUAUAUAUAUAUGUAUCUUGAAUAUAGAAAAAUUGUUUUAACUCCGUCACAAAUAUCCCAACUCAAAACUGAUAAAUGAUAGGAAUAGAUGUGUUUCCCAAGAAGAUACACGAACGGUCAAUAAUCCCAUAAAAAUAUACUCAAUAGCAUCACUCAUCAGGCAACUACAAAUCAAAACCACAGUUAGAUACUCUAUGGGUAGAACUGGCCACCUUGGAAAAUAAUUUGAUGGCUUCUAAAUAUAUGAAACAUAGAAUUGUCAUAUGACCCAGAAAUUUAUUCCUAGGUAUACACCCAGAUUAUUGGAAAGAGGUGUUCAAACACAAAUUGUACACAAGUAUUUUUAGCAGCAGUAUUUAAAAUAGCCAAAGGCUGAACACAACUCAAAUGUCAAUAAAAAUAUUAUUGGAUAAACAAAAUGUUAUAUCCAAGAAAUUGAAUGUUAUACAGUUAUAAAAAGAAAUAAAGUACCAAUACGUACAUGAACCUUGAUAGCAUUAUGCCAACUGAAAGAAGCCAGGCAGAAAAGGCCACCUAUUGUAUGAUUCUAUUUAGAUGAAAACAGACUAGGAAAAUCUAUAGAGACAGAAAACAGAUUUGUGGUUGCUUAGGAUUGAGUAGGGGAUGGGUGCAUAGGAGGUUAACAGCUAGGGAAGGUGGGGUUUCUUUUUGAAGUGAUGAAAAUGCUCUAAAAUUCAUUGUGAUGAUGGCUCCACUUAUCUGUGCAUAUACUAAAAGCCACUGACUUGUAGACAUUAAUGUGUGCACUCUACACUAUGUAAAUUAUAUCUCAAUAAAUCCUUUCAAAAAUACACAGAAGAGUAAGGGGUUUUGGAAUGCUGCAGCUGGGAGGCAGUUUGAAAUACUGAAUAGGCCUCAUCGAGAAUGUGAAGUUUCAGUAAAGACUUGAGGAAGUUGAAUGAGCUGAUCAAUGGAUAUAUGGAGGGCUAUCUUUCCAAGCCAAGAAAUUAACUAGAGUCUUGACCAUAAGGCAGCAGCAUGUUGGCAUGUCCAGAGGACAGUGAGGUGGCCAGGACCACUGGUAAGAUCAAGGGUGAAGAUAUAAAAGAAUUUUGGCAGUUAACAUGUGGCAGAUGAUGAUGGGCUUGCAGAUCAUUGUAAGAAAUGUUGUUUUGGCCGGGCGCGGUGGCUCACGCCUGUAAUCCCAGCACUUUGGGAGGCCGAGGCGGGUGGAUCACGAGGUCAGGAGAUCGAGACCAUCCUGGCUAACAAGGUGAAACCCCGUCUCUACUAAAAAUACAAAAAAUUAGCCGGGCGUGGUAGCGGGCGCCUGUAGUCCCAGCUACUCGGGAGGCUGAGGCAGGAGAAUGGCGUGAACCCGGGAGGCGGAGCUUGCAGUGAGCCGAGAUCGCGCCACUGCACUCCAGCCUGGGCGACAGAGCGAGACUCCGUCUCAAAAAAAAAAAAAAAAAGAAAAAGAAAUGUUGUUUUUAGUGUACAUGAAAUGGGGAGACAAAUCAUUAUCCCAUUAUCAAUAUUUUAAUAAAUUGGAUCCAUGAACCAAAUCCAAUGAGAUUAAAUCAAUUAAUAAUAAUAUGCAAAUUUGUAUUAAAAUUAAAAGAAUUACUUGCACAUUUGAGAACAGGAGAGACAUGAUUUUUAUCAGCAAUAAUAAACAUUAUUAAUUUUAAUUGUGAUCAGCUAAUUGAGAUUAAUUGCAAUACAUCAUGCUUUAUAAUGUGACUGCCAAAAGGAAAAUAUGAUUGUAAUCUUAUACUACAUCUAUCAAUGUCUUUUAUACAUAAGAGUAUAGAGUAAGCCCGUAGUUUUCAAAGCCAACCUAUGAAGCAGUGACAUCUUAUGCAAGUUUGCUGCUUUCUGCCACAGUGAUCCUUGGUCAGCGGGCACAAAUUGUUUUACAAACGCCCCCUAGGUCUAAAAGUAGUUUGGAUCACAAUGAACACAGAAACACCUUCAUCCCUUCAGAAAUACCUAUCAAUUACUUCCAAUACAGAAUGAAAAAUUGACAAAGGAAAUAUGUGGAUUGUAAAAAUGCCAGUUAGCUUGCAACUACAUGAAAGAAAAAUGCCAUUUUUAUUACAUUAGGUCAUUGUUUCACAUGAGUUUUGGUAUAGCAAAAUGUUGAACCAAGGGAAAAGAGACAUGAAUUAAUGAAGUCUUAAGAUAUCAAGAAUUUGAAAGAAAAGGCAGGUCAUCUUUGAAGGUUAGUGACAUAGCAUUCAUCUUCUGUUGUCACCUUUCCUGUCAUUCCCUGUAUGCCUGAUGGACAGGUUUCACUCAAGUUCAGAGAACAGCAUGCAAAAUUAGCUAUCAAUUAAUCUUUAGGAAGUGAGCUGCAUUUCUAGCCAGACUGAGCUUACGUUUUAGCAGGAAGCAUUUUUGGGAAAUGUUUAUGUUAGAGUUGGCCCUUCUUGACAAGGUGAGACAUAAAUGUCUACUUUAUAGACAUGAAUUAAGAUGGGAAGAUAUUUGGGGGAAUCAUUUACUCAAACGCUAAAUAAUAAAGGUACACAAAGGGCAAAUUAUACUAGAUUUCUUUCCCACUUGUUUUCUAUGUCUCAUGCAAUUCACCUUGAUUCCCUUCAGUUUCUGUUUAAUGUAGAAAGUGGCAUUUUCAUUAUUUUAAGCUUCUAGCACAAUGAAAGAAUUUCUCUUUUUCAUGAACAGGAUCAUACAUGAAAAGGAGGAAGAGUGUCCUAUAUCAUAUUUAUUGUUCAACAAAACACUGCUCCACGGCUUAAAUUCAGUUUAAGAAAGAGAAUUUGUUGAACAUCUAACACAUACAUAAAAGGCAGUAAAGACACAUGAGAAGAGGGCAGGAUAUUGAAGUAUACAGACUUCAAUGCUGAGUUUUAUAUCUUAGGGAGUUACUCCACCUUACAGAGGCUCAAUUUCCCCUGAUUUAGGAAGGCGAUGCUAAUGGGUAUUGCAUAGGUGUAAGUAUAAAAAUGUUGUAUUGAAGAGAAUCCCACAAGCUUGGUAUAAGGCCGAAAAUAAAUUGAUGUGACAUGAAUAAGUAGUUUAUUACAUUUGUAUGCUACCUGCAGACUAGAGGAAGCAAGAAACACAGCCACUAUGCUUGAUUAGCAUUAUAGGGAUGGUACAAUGAUUGUUGCCAGAAGCUGGAGGGAGGAAGAAAUGGGGAAGUAUUGUUUAAUGGGUAUAGAGUUUCAGUUUUACAAGAUGAAACGAAUUAUGGAGAUGGAUGGUAGGGACGGCUGCACAAUGUUAUGACUAUAUUUAGUACCACUGAACUGUACACUUAAAAUGGUUAACCGAGUACAUUUUAUGUUAUGUGUAUUUUACCACAAUAAAAAAAUAAAAUACCUUAGGAACAUUUUCAUGAAAAAGCCCACAUAAAAUUCAUUUUAAUGCACGUGUUUAUGCAUAGCUUUCUAUUUUUCUCUUUUCCCUUUACAUUCCUAAUUCUAAUCAGAGAAGGGAAUCCCCUCUGUACCUCCAGGAUAUUCAGUAAAGACCACUGGAGGUUCAUGCCCUAGUGACAGUGCUCAUUUAGCUCCAAAUUACAGAUGGCUCUAGACUAACUCAACAAAGCUUAAAGAGAAGAUUUAAAACAACAACAGACAAAUACUCAUCCUGAAGUUACUGAACUGCCUGCCACAACAUUGUUCAAAGGUAGCCAAUCAAAUCUAGAUAUUCAAUAGCAUAACAUCAAAAUACCCAAAAAAAACUCUGAAAUGCAAAGAAGCCGUAAGAUAUAUAUAAUUAAGAUAUAUAUUAACAGGAUAAAAAUAAGUCAUUUAUAAAUGACAAAAAAGAAGGAAAUUUCAAGGUUCUUAAAGUAAAUAUAUUUUAUAAAUACAUAUAGAUAAAUACAUAUAUAUGUCAAGGUACUUAAAUGAAAAUUAAACAUAGGAGAAAAAUAGAAGUUAUAAAAUGAAAAAGUGACAUAUAUAGAUGAAAAAUAAAUAUUUGAAAUAAAAAUUCCAUGACAUAGAAUAAGUAAUGGAUUUUACCCUAACAUCAGAAAAUUUAUAGAACAAAUUAGAAGCAUUACAAACUAAAGGACAAAUGGUAAACUAAAAUAAGAAAACCAGAAACUCACUGAUACGUCAGACAAUAUGCAUCAGUGUAACAUACAUGUAAUCAACAUCUCAAAAAGGAUGGGUGGGGUAAUUAUAGGUGAAUAAAGAAUGGUACACUCAUUCCUGAGGGCACCGAGGAGGGAGGAUAGCUUUAGAUUUCUAAGGGAGGGUAUUAUCCAUUCAUGAAGGUCCAACCCCAUGACCAAACACCUCCCAGUGAGCCCCACCUGCAACAUUGGGGAUCAAAUUUUAACAUGAGUUUGGAAGGGGCAAGCAUUCAAACCAUAGCAAGAGUUAAAUUUCCUUUUUAAGAAAAUCACUGAUAUGAUUCCACUUCGCCAUAGAUAAAAACUAGUAUUUCAGCCUACCGUUGAGUGUGCUUAUAGCUCACCAAAAGGGCACUCUGUCUCGGGAAUACAGAUUUGCCUACAGGUAUCCUAUUGCAGUCAAAGAAAGAGCAAUGAGGGAUAGAAAAGGUUAGUGAUGGAGACACCAGCGCUGCAUUUUGCAACAAACAAUGUAAAAACUUUACGGAUUGGUUCUGCUAACUUACUACAGUUUACAUGCCUCUCAGGUGGGAGAAUUGUUGCGUUUUUUCUUAAGAUAGAAAAGCAAUUCAGAUAAUCUGAAAUCUCCACAAGAAGGAUAAGAAGCACAGCAGAAACUAUUCUAGGCAGGAAGUCAAUCCUUUCAACUGUCUGUGCUCCAUAGAAACAAUUGUCUGCACUGGGAGUCAUAUGAGGUACAGACAACAGCCAGACUUCUGAUCCUCUCAUUAGUGAUUUCAGAAGAAAUUACCAGUCAACUGAGUAACUCACUGAGUAUAGUAAACAUUUGGCACUGAAAGAGGUUAGACGGAUAACUAUUUGUAUCACCAUAUUCAUGAAGCUGGAAUAUUUUCCAUUACUGGUAUCACAUCCGAAUGGAAGAUGUUAAAAGGUCUCUCAUCAUGUAAGAUAGAUAUGAAAGAACAUUUUCUGAGAAAUGAAAUUAUUAACACACCUGUGAGGUGCAUGGAAGAGAAAAAAAGAAUAAUCACCUUGAGUUCUUCUCCUUGAUAAGAGAACUCACUAAAAACAUAAAGAGAAAAAUACAAGUUUAAAAUAAUUAACCAGAAGAAGACGACUCUAGAGAUUUUAAAUUGCUGAUAAGAUUUUAAUUUGCUCCAAGUUGAAAAUAAUUAUAUUGCUUGUGUUUUAAGGCACAUAAUGAGCAAUUAUAUCACACAUGAUAGUUUCAGCAGUAAAAUAUGAUCCG